rnacentral:rRNA from 1 species
GAUGAACGCUAGCGGCAGGCCUAACACAAGCAAGUCGAGGGGUAGAACACUUCGGUGUUUGAGACCGGCGCACGGGUGCGUAACGCGUAUGCAAUCUACCUAGUGCAGGGGAAUAGCCCAGAGAAAUUUGGAUUAAUGCCCCAUAGUAUAUAACCUUCGCAUGUUGGUUAUAUUAAAGUUCCAACGGUACAAGAUGAGCAUGCGUCCCAAUAGUUAGUUGGUAAGGUAACGGCUUACCAAGACGAUGAUGGGUAGGGGUCCUGAGAGGGCGAUCCCCCGCACUGGUACUGAGACACGGACCAGACUCCUACGGGAGUCAGCAGUGAGGAAUAUUGGUCAAUGGUCGCAAGCCUGAACCAGCCAUGCCGCGUGCAGAAAGACGGUCCUAUGGAUUGUAAACUGCUUUUAUACAGGAAGAAACCCUCCCACGUGUGGGAGAUUGACGGUACUGUAGGAAUAAGGAUCGGCUAACUCCGUGCCAGCAGCCGCAGUAACAC